AGAGUUUGAUCCUGGCUCAGAAUCAACGCUGGCGGCGUGCCUAACACAUGCAAGUCGAACGAGAAAGUGGAGCAAUCCAUGAGUAAAGUGGCGACCGGGUGAGUAACACGUGACUACCUACCUCCGAGUGGGGAAUAACUCCGGGAAACCGGGGCUAAUACCGCAUAACAUCGCAAGAUCAAAGCAGCAAUGCGCUUGGAGAGGGGGUCGCGGCUGAUUAGCUAGUUGGUGAGGUAACGGCUCACCAAGGCGAAGAUCGGUAUCCGGCCUGAGAGGGCGCACGGACACACUGGAACUGAAACACGGUCCAGACUCCUACGGGAGGCAGCAGUGGGGAAUUUUGCGCAAUGGGGGAAACCCUGACGCAGCAACGCCGCGUGGAGGAUGAAGCCCUUUGGGGCGUAAACUCCUUUCGACCGGGACGAUAAUGACGGUACCGGUGGAAGAAGCACCGGCUGACUCUGUGCCAGCAGCCGCGGUAAUACAGAGGGUGCGAGCGUUGUUCGGAAUUAUUGGGCGUAAAGGGCGCGUAGGCGGUGCGGUAAGUCACCUGUGAAAUCCCCAGGCUUAACUUGGGGCCUGCAGGCGAAACUGCCGUGCUCGAGUAUGGGAGAGGUGCGUGGAAUUCCCGGUGUAGCGGUGAAAUGCGUAGAUAUCGGGAGGAACGCCUGUGGCGAAAGCGGCGCACUGGACCAUAACUGACGCUGAGGCGCGAAAGCUAGGGGAGCAAACAGGAUUAGAUACCCUAGUAGUCC
rnacentral:rRNA from 1 species